rnacentral:lncRNA from 1 species
GUUUGUUUAAAUUUGGCGCGUGUGAUUCUUCAAGGUGUCACAAACUUCACAAUGAUUGAGUUUGGCGGAGUACCCGUCCAAAACCGGGACCGCCUGUUCCUGUACUCCCCGUAGGCAUACAUCCAUCCACCAAGCAAAAAAAACGAAGGUCCUCUUCAGCGUGCAAGUGGUCGGACCCACGCUCCCUAAUCAUAAUCUAACACGUGUGGGGCCUACAUACGUGACCUCCCUCUGUUUUCUCUGUUUCUUAUCCCAUGAGAUGCGUCGUCGUGCUCUGCGAUAUAUUUGAUCUUUCGCGGUUCUUUAAUCUCUCAGCCUCUCCUUCAUUACUGCAAUCUCAGUAUAAUGCUGGUCAAGUCAAUGAGACAAAUAUUGACAAUGUCGAAGCCACCAUUAUAGACUGUAUGUAUGUAGUAGAAGCAGCUGCAAAAUAAAACUGACACUACUAUACCAGAUUUCCAUUUGCAAUUUGGAUUGACGGUUCCGGGACGCGCGCGGCAAUGGGGAGCUUCAAGCUCUCCUUGCUGUGCCUCGUCCCGUUCCUUCUCCUCGCGGUCGCCGCCGGCGGCGAC